ACAGGGAUUGCCCUAGUAACGGCGAGUGAAGCGGCAACAGCUCAAAUUUGAAAUCUGGCUCUUUUAGAGUCCGAGUUGUAAUUUGCAGAGGGCGCUUUGGCUUUGGCAGCGGUCCAAGUUCCUUGGAACAGGACGUCACAGAGGGUGAGAAUCCCGUACGUGGUCGCUAGCUAUUGCCGUGUAAAGCCCCUUCGACGAGUCGAGUUGUUUGGGAAUGCAGCUCUAAAUGGGAGGUAAAUUUCUUCUAAAGCUAAAUAUUGGCCAGAGACCGAUAGCGCACAAGUAGAGUGAUCGAAAGAUGAAAAGCACUUUGGAAAGAGAGUCAAACAGCACGUGAAAUUGUUGAAAGGGAAGCGCUUGCAGCCAGACUUGCUUGCAGUUGCUCAUCCGGGCUUUUGCCCGGUGCACUCUUCUGUAGGCAGGCCAGCAUCAGUUUGGGCGGUGGGAUAAAGGUCUCUGUCACGUACCUCUCUUCGGGGAGGCCUUAUAGGGGAGACGACAUACCACCAGCCUAGACUGAGGUCCGCGCAUCUGCUAGGAUGCUGGCGUAAUGGCUGUAAGCGGCCCGUCUUGAAACACGGACCAAGGAGUCUAACAUCUAUGCGAGUGUUUGGGUGUCAAGCCCGAGCGCGUAAUGAAAGUGAACGGAGGUGGGAACCCGCAAGGGUGCACCAUCGACCGAUCCUGAAGUUUACGGAAGGAUUUGAGUAAGAGCAUGGCUGUUGGGACCCGAAAGAUGGUGAACUAUGCUUGAAUAGGGUGAAGCCAGAGGAAACUCUGGUGGAGGCUCGCAGCGGUUCUGACGUGCAAAUCGAUCGUCAAAUUUGGGCAUAGGGGCGAAAGACUAAUCGAAC
rnacentral:rRNA from 1 species